rnacentral:rRNA from 1 species
GACGAACGCUGGCGGCGUGCUUAACACAUGCAAGUCGAACGGAAAGGCCCUGCUUUUGUGGGGUGCUCGAGUGGCGAACGGGUGAGUAACACGUGAGUAACCUGCCCUUGACUUUGGGAUAACUUCAGGAAACUGGGGCUAAUACCGGAUAGGAGCUCCUGCUGCAUGGUGGGGGUUGGAAAGUUUCGGCGGUUGGGGAUGGACUCGCGGCUUAUCAGCUUGUUGGUGGGGUAGUGGCUUACCAAGGCUUUGACGGGUAGCCGGCCUGGGAGGGUGACCGGCGACAUUGGGACUGAGAUACGGCCCAGAGUCCUACGGGGGGCAGCGGUGGGGAAUAUUGCACAAUGGGCGGAAGCGUGAUGCAGAAACGCCGCGUGCGGGAUGACGGCCUUCGGGUUGUAAACCGCUUUCGCCUGUGACGAAGCGUGAGUGACGGUAAUGGGUAAAGAAGCACCGGCUAACUACGUG